rnacentral:lncRNA from 1 species
UGCCUCACUCCUCCUCUCCAACCCAAACAAAAACUUCCUCCGCCAGCCGUUUCCUCAAUCAACCGUCGCCAUCCGCCGCCGCCACAUCCAACUCAAUCACCACAAUUCCCUCUUUUCAUCUCCCCACUCCAUGAUCAAAAGAAACCACCCUCCAAUUCAAGCUUUCGAUUCAACCGAAACAGAGGUCAUCACCAUCGAUUCCAACGACGGCGCCGUCGCCGUCCCUCCACCGGCAGCUGCACCAACCAGGUUUCAAAAACAGGCGGCGGCGAUGGACGAGUUCCCUGGAGAAAACGGGCCGGCGUUCGAAAUCCGAAAAGAAGUCAACGGAUGGGAAAAAUUGCUCCUCAACCUCCGGCUGCUCGUCGCUCCGCCGUGGCAGAGAGUCGCUAACGGCAGCGUUCUGUGUAUCAACUUCGGCGGAACGGUCUGUGUUAAUUAAUUAAUUGAAUCUUUGUUUUAUUAAUUAAUAUCUUAGUCUUUGUUUUGUUCAUUUUUCUUGACAUGGAUGGACUGAUCGGUCAACGAUUAGCAAAUUGUGAUGACUUUUGUCGGUUGCAUGUUUCAGAUAUCGGACGUUAAAGGACGUUGGUUCUCGCCGGAACUGACGCUUCCGGAGAUUUGUGAGAAUUUCGCCAAGGCGGCGAACGAUCCUCGUAUUUCAGGGAUUCUUGUGACGUUCAACUUCAUAGAGUGUGGGUGGGCGAAAUUGGAAGAAAUUCGUCGCCAUAUUUUGGAAUUCCGAAAAUCAGGUUCCACUAACUAACCAUUUCGGUCAGUUAAUCGGUUAAUCAUUUGAAAUACCUUUGACCCGAUGAAUUUAAGCCGACUCGUCUCAUAAUUUGUUCACGGUUAAGGGUUAAAAUCGAUUAGAUCGGUCGAAUUGACACCAACCCAGUUGGUUUAUGGGUAAUAGGUUUGAAUUCUUUUUGUCUACCGACCGACCGAAAUCCAUCAAUUAUAAACCACCCGGGCAACUCCCUCACUAAGAAAGUGAAUGAGAAAACACAAUUUUGCCUUAAUUGAGUAUUAGAUGUUUCUUUUCGGUCGAAGUAGAUCGAGAAUGGUCGUUAAUUAUUAUAUUGACGUUCAUUUCGUUUAUGUGUUGGAUUCUAACUCGAAACUGGGUCACUAAAUACAAAAAUAUUAGAUGCAUCAGAUCAAUUAUAACAAACCUAAACACAAUACCAUUAUACAAUAAUUAAGGGUGGGAAUUGGGCCGGGUAUGGAUCAAACUGGGAUUUCAUAUGGGUCGGGCUUUUUCUGCUUUUAUCCGAAAAGCCCGAAGUCCAAAUCUAUAUUUUGUGGACCCGAGUCUGAUCUUAUUUAUUCUGGACUUUUGUUUUGCCGUUUUGACUGGAUCGGGCGGGUUAUAUUGGUAUUGGGCAGGAAAAUUUGUGGUUGGGUACAUGUACGCAUUCAGGGAGAAAGAGUAUUACCUUGGUUGUGCAUGUGACGAGUUAUAUGCACCUACAUUGGCUCCCUUCUCUUUAUAUGGCUUCACUCUUGGGUCGCAAUUUUUUCGAGGUAACCAAUUUAGUCGAUUUUUGGAAGUGAUGAAUUUCGAAAUUUCUGCAACUUCAUUCGAUUCGUACGGUAUACUCUUGUCAUCAGGUAUACUGGAGAAGCUGGGUAUGGAACCGCAAUGGGUUAGGAUUGGCAAGUUCAAGAAAGCAGGGGACCAAGUGAUACGAAAGACAAUCUCUGAGCCGCAUCUCGAGGUCCUGAACAGCAUGCUCGAUGGCCGAUACGAAAAUUGGGUUGAAACUGUUUCUUCCGCCACAGGUAACAAUAAAGAUAAAACCUCUGUAGCUACAAUAUGUGCACAUGACUUAUAGAAACUGGUAAAACGAGCAGGAAAGACGAGAGAGGAAGUGGAAAGCUUCAUUAAUGAAGGUGUGUACGAGAUGGAGCGGGUGAAAGAAGCGGGGUUGAUAACUGACAUACUCUACGAAGAGGACGUAAGUUAAUUAGUUCCGUCACGAAAUAGUUGCAAGAAAAUUUACUGUGACAUAAAAAGUUUAUAUCGAAAGUCGCUCCUCUAAUACCUGAAAUCCUGGCUACGCCACUGUAUGUAUGUAGGUGAUGUCGAUGUUGAAAGCGAGACUUGGAGUUCCAAAGGAGAAAGAUCUGCCUACUGUUGACUAUAAGUUCGUACUAAACCCUUAACUCUAAAGUCUAAAUCUUUGAUUUAUACACGAAAGUAAAUGAAUGAAAAAAUGAGUGAACAAAAUGUAGGCGAUACUCGAAAGUAACAAAUUGGACACUGGGGUUAAACGCCGGAGAAGAUUCAAUAGCUGUGAUCCGAGCAAGUGGCAUGGUCGUCGGUAAAUGGGGUAUAUUGAACUUUCCUGGCUCUGCCAUAACUCCCGACAACAUCAUAAAACAGUUUCGUAUAAUCCGAGGUAUUUCACCGAAUGCAAUACUUGAUCGAUCUCAUCACAGUCAUUUUUUCUCCUUUUCUCUUAAUUCCGGACUGUGUUUAUUGUUUUUGGCAGACUCGAAGAAAAUCAAAGCAGUAAUCUUCAGGAUCGAUUGCUGUGGCGGCGAGGCUCUUGCAUCAGAUAUGUAAGUGAUACGAGAGUUGGUUCACCUACUUAACUCAUUCACCCUAAUGACGACUAAUUUCAUGGUUUGAUUCAUGUGGCAGAAUAUGGAAGGAGAUGCAGCUACUGGCGAAAGAAAAACCGGUUAUAGCAUCACUGUCUGACAUGGCAGCCAGUGGCGGCUACUACAUUGCGAUGGGAGCAACUGCCAUCGUCGCUGAGAAGUUGUCGGUAGCUUCUUCGAUCGGUAUCAUUCAAGGUAUAUAACAUAUUGCUACAAAAUAAUAUUGCUAAGUGAAGGAAGUUUAAUUUGAUCAUAAUGUUUUGAUGUGUUAGGUAAAAUGAACUUCUCCGAGUUUCACAAGAAAAUUGGGUUGAACAAGCACAUUGUAUCAAGGGGUAGAUACGCCGAGUUCCCUACGUGUGGACAUAGACCCCUGAGGUAAGUAAUUAGAGAUAUCGGUAUACUGGGGUAGAUUCGUCAAUGUGAGUUUCAGUUCGGGCUGCGACUGAGCUGGAUUGAGCCAACUAAUACCCUAGUGAAUAAUUAGCUACAUUGCAUGGUUGUUUUUUUAGGCCGGACGAGAAAGCCCUUCUGGAGAACCAAACUAUGUACUGGUACAAAAUAUAUCGCGAUAGAGCAGCAUUGUCUCGUAACAUGAGCGUGAGUAGUAAUCCAUUUUCGAAACCAUACUAUUCUCUAAUAUAUAAAGUUCGAUCCACAUUUUUUGGUCCUAAAUUUAUCUCAUUGACAUCGAUCGAUGGACAGAUAGAAGAUACGGAAAAGGUGGCACAAGGCAGAGUAUGGAGUGGAGAGGAAGCGGUUUCAAACGGUUUAGCAGAUGCAGUUGGCGGUAUGGCUCGGGCUAUAGCCAUCGCCAAGCACAAGGCUAAUAUCCCCCUCGAUAAACCCGUGAGUGGACUGGACCGUGGUUCAUAGAGGCUCUUGUUAUCUGUACUUCACCUACUUUGUUAUGUUCAAAAAUAUUUAAUUUUGCUUGUGCUGUAUAAUGUAUGCAGGUAAAGAUUGUGGAGCUAUCGAAACCGAAUUCGUCACUGCCGGAGUACAUAGCUGCUUUCGGGACUACUAUAGCUGGACUAGGCAGAGGAUCAGCGAUGGUAUCGGCAUACAGCGGUGCUCAAGCUCGACUCGAUGGGGGGGAUUCCGACAACCCGAUUUUUGCUAUAAUGAAGUAUUUUCUCGAGUUCAGUCAGACCGGGGCGGUGCAGGGCUCUAUGAAUGAGCUCUUGUAAGUUCAUAUUUGGAGAGACCUGGGACGGAUUUGUCUGUGACCAAUAAUCGAGUUUCAUCUAUGGUUACAUUUGAAUGAAACAUAUUAUCUUAAUAAACAAAAUAUGUCGGGAGUUUCAUAAUUUGGUACAUGCUUCUGAAAUAUUCCUGAAUUCCAUCCCCUUUAUUUUUUACAUUAAUUAUGUUAAGAUUUAAAAAUUGGACCCCAAUUAGAAUACCGUCAUAAUUAUUAUAACAACUCAAUUACUUUACAAUUUCGAUAACGUUAUUAAAUUAGUGUCUAAUGGUGAAAGAUGCUGUAACAGCUUGAUAUGUUGUUGAAUAAUUUUAGAACAUUAUAAACUCCCCGGGGACACUGACGGAUACAUGAGGAGCCAGGGUGAGUCCCGGUUGACUCCAUCUUCGGUCCCGAACAUUGAAAUCGAGCAUAUUUUUAUGAUUUUCUUAAAUCUGGCGCAGUGUAUUCGGUGAUAUUUAAAGUUUUAUUCUCCCAAUCGUGGUAUUUUUAACUCUGGCUUCGAAAUUACUUGAUCCUGCUCAGUGUAUAUGUUUCAAUUUUUAUUCCGCCCUUGGUCCUUUAGUAUUAUAAAAUACGAAAAUUUUAAUAACGAUAUGCAACCUUUUGUUCAAUAUUUCUUAUAUUAUGAAUCCCAAUUAGUAGAAAUCUCGCUACCGGCUACACCACUAAUUUCUAUUUAUAAAUGAGUUAUUAUAUAUAUAAUGAGGUAUCGGUACCUUAUAUACUAAAAACCUCAUAUUUUUAAAAUUAAAAAAUUAAAAAAUAAAUCCUAAAGUCUUUAUACCUUAUAUACUAAAAACCUCAUAUUUUUAAAUAAAUCCUAAAGUCUUUAUAUUAAAUCCUAAAUACUAGAGAAUGAUGCUAACGCCUAAACACUAAAUUAUAACCCUCAAACACUGCAUUAUAAAUUCAAACUCAAAAUCGUAUCACAAACUCUAACUGUUGAUCAUAAAUCAAGAUUAAUAGAUCCUAAACCCUUAUCAAACUCUAACAGCUAACACUAUACCCAGAUGGCUAACACAAACCUUCAACCUUAAAAUUUUUAAUUUUAAACACAAAAUAAAAUAAAAUUUAAUAUAUAGGGUACCGACACCUGAUACCAAUUUUUUUCCAUAUAUAUAUAAGAAAAAGCAUAAAAGUUAUACAUCAACAAAAAUAUAGCUGAGGGAACAAACCGCAGCAACAAUCACAAAAUUACAAGGCUCUAUAACUUAGUAGCGACCUUCAAAAACACCUUACACCACUAGUUGUAGUGAAGGUUUACAUCAACUAGACUUUUUUUUUGAAAACAAAACUACACUAUUUCUUCUCAACCGUGCUUGAAUAACUCUCGCCCGAGUGUUGAUUCAGGAGGCGUUGGGACGUGGAUUUAGGGCGCUUGACAUCAUCGAUGACUCAACGACGUCUAUCGUCGUCAGAUUUUUGUCAAAAAAACAAUACUAUUUCAAAUAACAUUUGAGAUAUCUCAUGCCAAAUGAACCAUGGUGUCCCACCCGCAUGACUGCUUUGAUUUGUCAUUACCCUAGUUUAAGGUUUUACCCAGAUAUUCCAAUCCCGUUAGACUGAUAUGCUUAAUUAAUUGCUAGGAUAUCCACAUCGGUUUCAAUUUUAAUUAAUCUUUUUCUAAUUGUCCGCUAAUUAAUUAAUGCUCGCUCACUGCAUGUCAAGCUAGCCAAUGGUUUUUUGGUUUCUAUUUACUUAAUUGUCUUCUGCAACAAAACAAAAACUUAUUAAAACAAACGGAGAGGAAACAAACGACAUGCAGAGACCGUUGGACCCAAAUUGAAGAAAGUAAAGCCGCCGUUACAUUGCUGCAUGCAUAAAGCAAUUUUUUCCACCGGUCCGCUCUAUAAAAUGUACUAAGUGGGGAGUCUUUCUCCUAAUCACCAACUUUCUCAGUUUCUUUCUUCCCAUCGAAAACCCCCCCUUCGCCGGAGAAAUGGCUGAGCUAAAACAAUUACUAAACCCUCCCAAUAUCCCCUGCCGCCACCGUACCUCUGCCUCACUCCUCUCCAUCCCAAACAAAAACUUCCUCCGCCAGCCGCUUCCUCAAUCAACCGCCGCCAUCCGCCGCCGCCACAUCCAACUCAAUCACCACGGUUCCCUCUUUUCAUCUCCCCACUCCAUGAUCAAAAGAAACCCAUCUCCAAUUCAAGCUUUCGAUUCCGCCGAAACAGAGGUCAUCACCAUCGACUCCAACAACGGCGCCACCGCCGUCGGCCCUGUAGAACCUGCACCAACCAGGUUUCAAAAACAGGCGGCGGCCAAGGACGAGUUACCCGGAGAAGGGUGUCCGGCGUUCGAAAUCCGAAACAAAGAAAUCGAGGGAUGGGAGAAGUUGCUUCUGAAGCUCCGGCUGCUUGUCGCUCCUCCGUGGCAGAGAGUUGCUCAUGGCAGCGUUCUGUGUAUCGACUUAGGCGGACCGGUCUGUGACCCUGUGUUAAUUAAUUAAAUCUCUUUUUGUUGAUUAAUUUUUAGUGUAUUUUGGUUCGUUUUCCUGACGAUUUUGUGAAUUUUUUUGGUUGCGUGCAUGUUCUAGAUAUCGGACGUUAAAGGACGGUGGUUAUCGCCGGCACUGACGCUGCCGGAGAUUUGUGAGAAUUUCGCCAAGGCGGCGAACGAUCCUCGGAUUUCGGGGAUUCUUGUGAGGUUCAACUUCAUAGAGUGUGGGUGGGCGAAAUUGGAUGAAAUUCGUCGCCAUAUUUUGGAAUUCCGGAAAUCAGGUUCCACUAAUUAACCAUUUCAGUCAGUUAAUCGGUUAAUGAUUUUAAAUACCUUAUUACCUUUGACCCGAUGAAUUUAAACUGACUGUGUCUCAUAAUUUGUUCACGGUUAUAUCUAAUUUGGUCACGGUUAAGGGCUAAAAUCGAUUAGAACGGUCGAACCAACACCAAUCCAGUUGGUUUAUGGAUAAUAGAUUUGAAAUCUUUUUAAUCCACUGUCUGACCGAAAUCCAUCAAUUAUUAACCAACCGACCAACUCCCUCUCAGAAAGUCAAUGAUAACACAACUACUCACCAACAAUACAAAUGGACAAUAAUUAAGGGGUCAGAAUCGGAUCGGGAUACCGGUCAAACCAGGGAAUGUUGUCCAAAUCUAUGUAUUUUGUAGAUCUAACCCCGACCUGAUUUUAUUUAGUCCUGACUUUCUGACUCGAAUCAUGAUUUAACCGGGCUGAGUCGGGCCCAGUGGAGAAUUUUAUAUAGAGUUUUGUCAGUGGUCGAUGAUCGAGGUUAAUUAUCUUUUCUAAUCGAAUAACUGUGCAUUUCGGUUUUGGGCAGGAAAAUUUGUGGUUGGUUACAUGUAUGCCUUUUGGGAGAAAGAGUAUUACCUUGGUUGUGCAUGUGACGAAUUAUAUGCACCUACAUUGGCUCCCUUCUCUUUGUAUGGCUUCACUCUACCUGCGGUGUUUUUUAGAGGUAAUAAUUUAGUUAAUUUUGGAAGUGAUGAAUUUCGAAAUUUGUAUCGGGUUGUAUUGUAUGCUCGACUAAGCCUCGUAAUGUCCUUGAGGGCACCAGGUAUACUGGACAAGCUGGGUAUGGAACCGCAAUGGGUUAGGAUUGGCAAGUUCAAGAAAUUUGGGGACCAAGUGAGACGAAAGACUAUCACCGAACCACAUCUCGAGGUCCUGAACAGCUUGCUUGAUGGCCGAUACGAGAAUUGGGUUGAAACUGUUUCUUCUGCUACAGGUAACCCAAAGGAAGUAUUAUCUUUGUAGCUUCUAAUAUGUGCACAUGACUUAUAAAAACCGUGGAGACCAACUGCUCACGGGGUGUAAUUGUGUUGAGCAGGAAAGACGAGAGAGGAAGUGGAGAGCUUCAUUAAUGAAGGUGUGUACGAGAUGGAGCGGGUGAAAGAAGCAGGGUUGAUAACCGACAUACUCUACGAAGAGGAUGUAAGUUAAUUAGUGAUCACUAAUUACUUGUUAAAUUUUUUUACUGUGGCCUAAAGCUUUAUAUCGAAACUGACUUCCCCAGUCACGUAAAAUUCUGGCUGCGCCGCUGUAUGUAGGUGAUGUCAAUAUUGAAAACGAGGCUUGGAGUUCCGAAGGAGAAAGAUCUGCCUACAGUUGAUUAUAAGUUCGUGCUAAACCCUAAACUUUAAACCUUGAUAUUUACUUGAGCGAGCUGAUCUCCAAGCUGAAUAAAUGAUUGAACAAAAUGUAGGAGAUACUCGAAAGUAACAAACUGGACACUGGGGUUAAACUCCGGAGAAGAUGCCAUAGGUGUGAUCCGAGCAUGUGGUAACAUCGUCGAAAAAUGGGAUUUGCUGAACGCGCCUGGCUCUGGCAUAAUUCCUGACGACAUCAUUAAACAGUUUCGUAUAAUCCGAGGUGCGUAUUCACCGGAUGUGGUCCAUGAUCAAUCUCAUCACGUCAAUUUUCCGGAUGUGUUAUGAUUUUCUUAUAUUUUGGCAGAGUCAAAGAACAUCAAAGCAGUAAUCUUCAGAAUCGACUGCUUUGGCGGUGAUGCUCUUUCAUCGGAUAUGUAAGUGUUAAUGCAGUAGCAGCACAGUGGGCUGCCGAGUUGCAUAUAUAGUGUACUUUAGGGGUUUAUGAUGUUAUUUAAGUGCAGUUUCUUAGUGACAGUAGGUUAGCUACCGUUUUUCGGAAAAGCGGUUAACAGUGAGUUUUAGUGGCCAGGCAGAUUAGUAACCGUUUCAUUUGUAGUACUGAAUGAGGUGUGUUAACGUUGACAGAAUAUGGAAGGAGAUGAGGCUACUGGCUAAAGAAAAACCAGUGAUAGCAUCACUAUCAGACAUGGCGGCCAGCGGGGGCUACUACAUUGCAAUGGGGGCGACUGCCAUCGUCGCGGAGAAGUUGUCGGUAGCUUCUUCGAUUGGUAUCAUUCAAGGUAGAAAACAUAUAACUAUAAAAAAAACAUAUUGCUAAGUGAAGACAGAUUAAUUUUAUCAGAAUGUUUUUGUGUUAGGUAAAAUGAACUUCUCCGAGCUUCAUCAGAGAAUAGGGUUGAACAAGCACAUUGUAUCAAGGGGUAGAUACGCCGAGUUCCCUACGUGUUCGCAUCGACCCUUGAGGUAAGUAAUUAGAGAUAUCAGUAUACAUGACGAUCGACUUAGAUCCUCAAAGUUGGACGGAUUAUGUGUUGUUGAGUACUUUUAGUCAAAGUUACCGUUCGCGCGGUGACCGAGUCGACUAAGAUAAAUACUUAGCUACAUUGUAUGUUUGUUUUUUUCAGGCCGGACGAGAAGGCCCUUCUGGAGGACCAAACUAUGUACUGGUACAAAAAAUAUCGCGAUAGUGCAGCAUUGUCCCGUUCCAUGAGCGUGAGUAGUAAUCCAUUUUCGAAACCAUCUUUAUAAUUAUAUGAAGUUCGAAAACACAAAUUUUCCUCAUGAAUUUAUAAUCAGUGUAUAUUCGUCGAUAUCAAUGCAGAAAGAAGAUAUGGAAAAGGUGGCACAAGGCAGAGUGUACAACGGAGAGGACGCGGUUUCAAACGGUUUAGUGGAUGCAGUUGGCGGUAUGGCUCGGGCUAUAGCUAUCGCCAAGCACAAGGCUAAUAUCCCCCUUGAUAAACCCGUGAGUAGACUGGACCUUGUUUCAAAGGAGGCUCUUGUUUUCUGUACUUUGUCAUGUUGAAAAGUAUUUACUUCUUCUUUGGCUUUGAUACAUAUCCAGGUAAAGAUUGUGGAGAUAUCGAAACCGAAUUCAGGAUUGCCGGAGUUCUUAGGUAUUUUGGGGAAUACUAUAGCUGGCCUAGGCAGAGCAUCGGCGAUGGCAUCAGCAUAUAGCGGAGCUCAAGCUCGGUUCGAUGGGGGAGAUCUCGAUAACCCCUUUUUCGCUAUAAUGAAAUAUUUUCUCGAGUUCAGCCAGACCGGGCCGGUGUAGGGCUCUAUGAAUGAGCUCUUAUAGUUAAGUCAUAUGUUAGUUGUUUGGAAAAUAAUAUGGGUUGUAACGGAUUUGUCUGUUCCCGAUUAUCGACUUUCAUCCAUGGUUGCAUUUGAGUGAGAACCUAUCAUCUUAAUUUAAAAAGUAAUGUUGGAGUUUCAUAAUUUUGGUACCUGCUUCAAAUUUACCUAGCUAAGUCUGUUAGAUUGGGGAGCAGUUUUUAUUUAACGGAUUAUUUAGUUAGAGAUGAUUAUAACUAGUUAAUGAAAUUUAUAACUAGUUAUAAUCUUUUCCUGCUUCUAGGACUAAAUUGUUACUUUUGAAAAUAUUUGGACUUCUACGGGUAGGAAUCUUAAGGUAAUUUCUAUAAUAUUUUUUCCUCGAGUGACUAAAAAUCAGUGUUAUGGAAGGCGCGAUUAGGCGUCCGCCUAGGCGGGAAAAAUCCCAAGGCGCCGGCAAAACGCCUCGUCUCGGGCAAGGCGAUGAAAUAAGGCGGCCGACCGAGUAAUCACUAAGGAAUCGCGCGAAAUCCUAUUAGGCGUUAAAACUAAAAAUAAAAAAUACAUAGUUCACCCUAAAUUGAAAGAUUUUGUGUGAUCACCUAGGAACCUACGAGUUUGACAUCGCCUUUAUGGCUUAUUUUGUAAUUUUGUUAUUGUUAUUUUGUUAUGUUUGUUUUCUUAUAUAUGAUAGCUUGAACUUUGUUAGUUACAUAACUACAACUCUGUAAACUUAUGAACAGUUAUGUUUGAUCUUGCACACUAAACCUAAAAUCUAAUGCAUUUUUUCUAAACGCCUAAUCGCGCUUAGGCAACGCCUAAUCGUUCAAGGCGUGAGGCAAGACCUCACUGCCUUAUUUACGCCUUACGCCUUCCUGAACAUUGCUAAAAAUUGACGUUCUUUAUUGGGUUCAACAUUCAUGUUAAAUGCUUCAUGUAAUAUUUUUAUUUUUUGCAAACUAAUAUGAUGGUGAAGAAACCACAAAACAGGAAAAUUUUGAGAGGUUUAUAAUGGUAAAAUAUGAUUUUAAGAAUUAUAGAAUUAUAUGAAUGGAUAAGUCUGACGAUAUAUAUUUUAAUCAUUUAAAUUAUUAUAGAUCACAAUUGACCUAUGAUGGAAUCACACUCAUAAGUCAUAUCAUCAUUGUAUGAGACCAUUUUGGCAUUCUCAAAGAAUGAUUUACAGACUUCGGACUGUCAAUACUAGUAUAGUUUUAAAAAUACUAAGUAAACGAAAAACGAUACCCAAAAGCCAUUUUAAAAAAUUAGUUGGUUACAAAAAAACAUCACAACGUAUUUUUUAUCAAUGAACUUUAUCUAUAUAUAAACAUGAAAAAAAUGUACAAAAGAGGUAAACAAAAAUUAUGGUAAUCGGGCAAAAAAACCAAAUCCUCCCACCUAAACAAUCACCUUAAGAGGAAAACUUUUCACGUUAUAAACAAAACGAGAUAAAAAAGACGAACAAAACAGAAAGGGCCAUCUCAAUUACCCUUAACACCGAAUGCACCAAUCAUGAAAAAUAAAAAAUAACAACUCCACCAAAGACUAGCACCAACAGAAGAAAUCUAAUCUGAUACAACAGUAGAACAAAGGUAAAAUUUAUAAUGUUCAUCCAGAAUAAUGUAUUAAAAGUAUAUUACCACAAUAUCUAUAGGUAAGAGAGAAAUUACAUGUUGUAUUUCUUACUGUUGGGUGAAGUGGUGAACAUCGUAACUAAAUGUUGUUUUUCGUUUUACAUUUCCACAUGUAUGUUAAUAGAAUAAAUAUAAUUAAUGAUGAAUUUUUUAGUAUAUUUAGUAUAUAGAAAGUUUUGGUGUGUUCGCUCGUCAAUUUUAUUUUGGUGUUUAUUACUUCAAGGAAUUUGGAGAGGAUUCCCAACAUUAGAGCAGUCAUUGAAGGGAGUUUGGAGAAAUUAGAUAGAAUUAGAAAAAAAUAAAAAAAUUUGAGCUUUGAAAAGGAAAAUCAGAUUCAAGUUUGAAUAAAAAUAUUGAAUAGAUCAUCGUCAAAUAUCAACAACUCAUGUAUAAGUUACAACUCGAUGAUAAACACAAAAAAGGAAGAGAAAGGGUUGGAAGGAGAGAGGAAUUUUUUUCAUUUUUAUUUUUUUAUUUUGUUGAUUAAUGAUUAGAGUUAGUGAUGAUGUGGCGUACGUGCAUGGUUGAUCCAUAUGGUAAAGUGGAUGGAAUAAAACAGAAAAUACUAACGGCGAGUUUGAUUAAUUACGACUCAGACAAUUUUGACGAAAAAUACAAUUUUCAGACGGUUAAAAAAUGCUAAAUUUAAAGAACUUUUAAAGUCAAUAAUCCAUUAAUAAGUACUUAUAAGUUAUAACCAACUGAUAAAUAUUAAUUAUAAAUUGAGUUCAAAUAAUUUAAUAUAGGAAACAUGAUAAAUUAUGAAGAUUUCCAUAUAAACCGGUCCGAUCAAAUUGUUGGUCACUGGUCCGGUCUGAUAUCCGGUCUAUUUCGAAUAACUCAUGUACUAGUUUACACUAUAAAAUUUACUAUUAAGUGGGUGUUUUUCUCCUCAAUAAAUUUCUUCCCAUCGAAAUCCCCUUCGUCGGAGAAAUGGCAGAGCUAAAACAAUCACUAAAUCCUCCCAAUAUCCCCUGCCGCCACCGUACCUCUGCCUCGCUCCUCCUCUCCAACCCAAACAAGAAUUUCCUCCGGCCGCUUACUCAAUCAACCGCCGCCGUCCGCCGCCACCAGAUCCAACUCAAUCCCCACAAUUCCCUUUUUUCAUCUCCCCACUCCAUGA